CGGGCCACUUCAAGGAAUCUAGACUGCUUCAACCUGUUGGAUGCUCCCACUCCUCUCCCACGGCUUGAAUGCCUAGCCCUCAGUGACACCAUGGCACGAUUCCACCACAGCCGAAGCAGUAGUAGAAACUGCCGUUGGAUGAGGAAACAAAGGCCUCGUGGUGGGGGCUCCGGGCGACGGGGCAGGGGCAGGAGAAGGGGAAAAGGUGGCCGAAAGAGGAGAGGUUGUAGAGGAAAGGGAAGUAGAAGGAGAAGGAGAAGAAGACACUAAAUUUGAGUAGGACUCAUGACUGAAAUCUCUUGUUCCAACCAAGGCAAAUUUCCUCUUCAGUGUUUUUCAGCAGCAAAUGAACGACAAUCCUGCAAUAAAGCCUGAAAUGUUGUCACAGCACUUAAACAAA